AGCGUAUAUUAAAGUUGUUGCAGUUAAAAAGCUCGUAGUUGAAUUUCGGGGUUCUACCGUUGGUCGGGCUAACCAGUCUGUACUAGCGUGUAAAAUUCCUACCUUCUGGAGAACCAUCAUGUUAUUAAUUUAGCGUGGUGGGAAACCAGGACCUUUACCUUGAAAAAAUUAGAGUGUUCAAAGCAGGCUUACGUCUGAAUACAUUAGCAUGGAAUAAUAGAAUAGGACGGUGGUCCUGUUUUGUUGGUUUCUGAAUCACCGUAAUGAUUAAUAGGGAUAGUUGGGGGCAUUAGUAUUCAAUUGUCAGAGGUGAAAUUCUUGGAUUUAUUGAAGACUAACUUCUGCGGAAGCAUUUGCCAAGGAUGUUUUCAUUAAUCAAGAACGAAAGUUAGGGGAUCGAAGACGAUCAGAUACCGUCGUAGUCUUAACCAUAAACUAUGCCGACUAGGGAUCGGACGAUGUUAAAUUUUAUUGACUC
rnacentral:rRNA from 1 species